AGUGAACGCUGGCGGUAGGCCUAACGCAUGCAAGUCGAACGGCAGCACAGUAAGAGCUUGCUCUUACGGGUGGCGAGUGGCGGACGGGUGAGGAAUACAUCGGAAUCUACUUUUUCGUGGGGGAUAACGUAGGGAAACUUACGCUAAUACCGCAUACGACCUACGGGUGAAAGCAGGGGAUCUUCGGACCUUGCGCGAUUGAAUGAGCCGAUGUCGGAUUAGCUAGUUGGCGGGGUAAAGGCCCACCAAGGCGACGAUCCGUAGCUGGUCUGAGAGGAUGAUCAGCCACACUGGAACUGAGACACGGUCCAGACUCCUACGGGAGGCAGCAGUAGGGAAUAUUGGACAAUGGGCGCAAGCCUGAUCCAGCCAUACCGCGUGGGUGAAGAAGGCCUUCGGGUUGUAAAGCCCUUUUGUUGGGAAAGAAAAGCAGCAGGUUAAUACCCCGCUGUUCUGACGGUACCCAAAGAAUAAGCACCGGCUAACCUCGUG
rnacentral:rRNA from 1 species